rnacentral:tRNA from 1 species
GGCCAGGUGCUGGAAUGGUAGACAGGAUAGUCUCAAAAACUAUUGAGGGCAACCUCGUGAGAGUUCGACUCUCUCCCUGGCCA